UACUAGUACUAGCCUAGCCUAGUACUAGGGCCUAUAGGCUAUAGUAUAGGGUCUAUUUGAGAGAGGCACUGGGUCGUUUUUUCAGCAGCAAGAGUGGCACUGCAGAUAGGAUAUAUGAAUAUGGCUUAGAAUAUAGGACCAUAUAGGGGCAAAAUCUUUUUUUUCUUAGCAUGACCCUAUGUUUUACAUGUACUUUUCAAAUGAUAAAAUGUAUUAUUUCAACCUCUUGAAAAAAAUUCUAGACGAUCACUUUUCUCUACAACAAAUGAAAUCAUUUUGUUUAGGAGAAUUUCUAUUUGUGCAUUAAAAAUGCUGAUUGGACACUGGCCUUUCCCGAAACGCUUUUGCAAUUCUUCCUUAAAACCUUUGUUAUUAUUUGCUAAUAAGAUUUAUAUGGAAUGUGUUGCAUGACAGAUAACCGACAUGGAGGAAGCCCUUAUCCUAGAAGUGUAGGAAAAUCCAAUCCUGUAUGACAAGAGAUUGGAGAUGAUUAAGGACAUAGAAGUAAAAAGCGAUGUAUGACAUGACAUUGGGCGUCAGCUUGUAAUUUCAGGUGACGUAGCGAGGUGAGGGACAACUUCCUAAAAAAAAGGACAGAAAAUGGAGUGGAAGAUUGGUGACGGAGCUCUCUCAAACAAAGCACGUAAAUACAAGUACAGAGAGGCAAUGGAAUUCCUAGUUCUCUAUACAUACAUAAUCGAGAAACAAGUUCAAUCUUGGAUCCUGUGUUUGAUGUGGACACACCAGGAGAAGCCUGUACCAAGCAGGAAGAAACUGAGCAGGAGAAUGGUGACAUCUAUCCACAACGUGGGUCAGGCUUCCUCGUCAUCAUCCUCAGGCACGUCCGCAACAUCAGUCCAGUCUUCAAGUCCCAACUUCACUUCAAAUCGAGGACACAAUGUUGCAGUAAUUUCAAAGCACCGAUAGUCAUGGUGACAACAUAACUGUAGAUCAAUUUUUCUCCAGUUUGUCCCCCAUUGUCCCACACUGUAAAAGUUACCUCAAUGCCAGCUCCAUUGCUAUGAGGUUAAUUUCGGUCUUCUGAACAUUGAACAUACUACUAUAGGAAUUAAAGGUUUCGUGUCAUCUAAAUCCAAGUCGAUUCCUAUUGAUGUGAUAAACAUCUCACAAUUUAAGAAUCCAAAUAUGUUUCGUAGAUUUAAAAAAAAAGGUAACGGAAAAUAUUCUAACUUGCUAUGCUCCACCGCUAAAAAGAGAGCUGAUAUCUUAUUCCCUCUGACAUUACUCAAUACUCAUCCAAUUGUUAGCUAACAAAGGGACAGUGGUUUGUAGUUUGCCAGAGCUAACAACCUGUCAAUAGUCUCAACAUAAAAGAUGCAAUGUCAGACAUGCAGCAUCACCAACAAAUGAAAAGCAGUGUAUAUAUGAUUACAUCUGAAUGACUUAUGAUAAAUCCAUAUGAAAUAAAUCAUUUGCAGGAAAUCUACAACUUUAAUGACUGAUAUCGUAUUAUAAACAACUACACCAUAAAAUGUGUUAUUCUAAUUUCCACUUGAAUUUUUCACUUUAACAUCUCCCAUUGUUACAGUUGCAAGUCAGUCUCAAUUUGCAGAAAUUACGAUUUUGAAGGAUAAUGAUCUUCCUCUUUUGUAGAUCUGGAAAAUAUCGUCUGAGCAUGUUCACCAUUUAUCAAAAAUAUAUUUAUUUUUUAAAUUAUACUUGAAUUUAAAAUCAGGAUUUGUUCACAGAUAAGAGAAGUUGAACAGUUUGCACAUCACAGAAAUUUGGUUCAUGCAAAUAUUAACAUGAUAACUAGUAAUGUACUAUCAAAUAUCAACACAUGAAACCAGUUACUGUGAAAAUAAAAAUGAUGGGUACUGGACGGAACGUUUCUGGACUAAUGUUUUAUUUUGGAAACAGAGAUCUAGGAUUGUUUGAAAUAUGUCAAAAUGUUAGAAACAAAAUUUCAUCUCUAAACAGAAUGGCAAUGACACUCCUGGGGCCUGCUUCAUAGAGAGGUACAACUAUCAUAACUUUGUCUUUAAUGGUAAUAUGGCGCAACAUCCAAUUAUAAUUGUGGUUUCCAUGGAAGUUGCCAUAAUGUUAAAGUACUUUUGAAAUGGGCCCUUGGACAUGAAAAAUACUGACAAAAGAAAGUUGAUGGUGAAAUAAGAAUACAUUCAUCCUUAAGAAAAUGUUUGACGCCCCAUGCAUUUUUUUGUUUAUAUAUCUCUUAUGAUUAUUUUCUGUAAUAAAUUAAUGAGCAUCACUUUUUUUCAACAACAAAUAUAAUGUAGAUUGCUGAAGAACCUAAAAUAUAUUUGGAGCUGAAUUAAACUAAAAUUAAAGAUGUCGACAAAAUGAAGUACAGUGUAAUUGCUCUUAUUUAUUGGGCCAGACCUCACUUGGCAUUGCUUUUAAAGAACAAGUCCAUCCCAACAAAAAAGUUGAUUUGAAUAAAAGAGAAAUAUUCAACAAGCAUAACACUGAAAA